rnacentral:rRNA from 1 species
GAUGAACGCUAGCGGGAGGCCUAACACAUGCAAGCCGAGCGGUAUUUGUCUUUCGGGACAGAGAGAGCGGCGUACGGGUGCGGAACACGUGUGCAACCUGCCUUUAUCAGGGGGAUAGCCUUUCGAAAGGAAGAUUAACACCCCAUAAUAUAUUGAAUGGCAUCAUUUGAUAUUGAAAACUCCGGUGGAUAGAGAUGGGCACGCGCAAGAUUAGAUAGUUGGUAGGGUAACGGCCUACCAAGUCAGUGAUCUUUAGGGGGCCUGAGAGGGUGAUCCCCCACACUGGUACUGAGACACGGACCAGACUCCUACGGGAGGCAGCAGUGAGGAAUAUUGGACAAUGGGUGAGAGCCUGAUCCAGCCAUCCCGCGUGAAGGACGACGGCCCUAUGGGUUGUAAACUUCUUUUGUAUAGGGAUAAACCUAGAUACGUGUAUCUAGCUGAAGGUACUAUACGAAUAAGCACCGGCUAACUCCGUGCCAGCAGCCGCCGCGG